rnacentral:rRNA from 1 species
GUACGGGAGGCAGCAGUGGGGAAUUUUGGACAAUGGGCGAAAGCCUGAUCCAGCAAUGCCGCGUGAGUGAAGAAGGCCUUCGGGUUGUAAAGCUCUUUUGUCAGGGAAGAAACGGUGGAGGCUAACAUCCUUUGCUAAUGACGGUACCUGAAGAAUAAGCAUCGGCUAACUACGUGCCAGCAGCCGCGGUAAUACGUAGGGUGCAAGCGUUAAUCGGAAUUACUGGGCGUAAAGCGUGCGCAGGCGGUUUUGUAAGUUUGUCGUGAAAUCCCCGGGCUCAACCUGGGAAUGGCGAUGAAGACUGCAAGGCUAGAGUUUGGCAGAGGGGGGUAGAAUUCCACGUGUAGCAGUGAAAUGCGUAGAUAUGUGGAGGAACACCGAUGGCGAAGGCAGCCCCCUGGGUCAAAACUGACGCUCAUGCACGAAAGCGUGGGGAGCAAACAGGAUUAGAUACCCUUGUAGUCC